AUUUAGCUAAUGAGUCCAAGAGUGAACAUCAACCCUCUGAGAUGCAGAUACAUCCAGAUGACUAGUACCAAAUAGGACAAAACGCGCGUUCUGGAU
rnacentral:hammerhead_ribozyme from 1 species